GAUGAAGAACGUAGCGAAAUGCGAUAAGUAAUGUGAAUUGCAGAAUUCAGUGAAUCAUCGAAUCUUUGAACGCACCUUGCACUCCUUGGUAUUCCGAGGAGUACGCCUGUUCGAGUGUUAUGAAGCUCUCAAAACGCAAUUGGCUUAAAACCUGAUUGUUGUUUUGGAUUUGAACUUUGCCGUGUUAUAACGGCUGGUUUUAAAAGUAUUAGCUGGUACUAGAACGAAUUGGUUCUACUCAACGUGAUAAUUAUCUGAUCGUUGAGGACAUUCCUUUCACGAGGAAUGGCCAUAGUAAAUUCAAUGGACUGCUUCUAAUCUGGCUUUAAUUCUUUAUUGGAUUAACCACUUUUCAAAUCUGACCUCGAAUCAGGUGGGACUACCCGCUAAACUUAAGCAUAUCAAUAAGCGGAGGA
rnacentral:misc_RNA from 1 species